rnacentral:rRNA from 1 species
UGGGGAAUUUUGGACAAUGGGCGAAAGCCUGAUCCAGCAAUGCCGCGUGUGUGAGGAAGGCCUUCGGGUUGUAAAGCACUUUUGUCCGGAAAGAAAUCCUUGGCUCUAAUACAGUCGGGGGAUGACGGUACCGGAAGAAUAAGCACCGGCUAACUACGUGCCAGCAGCCGCGGUAAUACGUAGGGUGCAAGCGUUAAUCGGAAUUACUGGGCGUAAAGCGUGCGCAGGCGGUUUGCUAAGACCGAUGUGAAAUCCCCGGGCUCAACCUGGGAACUGCAUUGGUGACUGGCAGGCUAGAGUAUGGCAGAGGGGGGUAGAAUUCCACGUGUAGCAGUGAAAUGCGUAGAGAUGUGGAGGAAUACCGAUGGCGAAGGCAGCCCCCUGGGCCAAUACUGACGCUCAUGCACGAAAGCGUGGGGAGCAAACAGGAUUAGAUACCCUGGUAGUCCACGCCCUAAACGAUGUCAACUAGUUGUUGGGGAUUCAUUUCCUAGUAACGUAGCUAACGCGUGAAGUUGACCGCCUGGGGAGUACGGUCGCAAGAUUAAAACUUAAAGGAAUUGACGGGGUCAUA